CCUACGGGUGGCAGCAGUGGGGAAUAUUGCGCAAUGGGCGAAAGCCUGACGCAGCGACGCCGCGUGAGGGAUGAAGGUCUUCGGAUCGUAAACCUCUGUCAGCAGGGAAGAACGGUCACUGUGCUAAUCAGCAGUGAAUUGACGGUACCUGCAAAGGAAGCACCGGCUAACUCCGUGCCAGCAGCCGCGGUAAUACGGAGGGUGCGAGCGUUAAUCGGAAUUACUGGGCGGAAAGCGCUCGUAGGCGGUAUGUCAAGUCAAGGGGGAAAUCCCCGCGCUCAACGUGGGAACUGCCUUUGAAACUGGGAAACUGGAGUGUGUGAGAGGAUAGUGGAAUUCCAGGUGUAGGAGUGAAAUCCGUAGAGAUCUGGAGGAACAUCAGUGGCGAAGGCGACUAUCUGGCACAUAACUGACGCUGAGGAGCGAAAGCGUGGGUAGCAAACAGGAUUAGAUACCCCAGUAGUC
rnacentral:rRNA from 1 species